rnacentral:rRNA from 1 species
GAUGAACGCUGGCGGCGUGCCUAAUACAUGCAAGUCGAGCGAACAGAUGAGGAGCUUGCUCCUCUGACGUUAGCGGCGGACGGGUGAGUAACACGUGGAUAACCUACCUAUAAGACUGGGAUAACUUCGGGAAACCGGAGCUAAUACCGGAUAAUAUAUUGAACCGCAUGGUUCAAUAGUGAAAGACGGUUUUGCUGUCACUUAUAGAUGGAUCCGCGCCGCAUUAGCUAGUUGGUAAGGUAACGGCUUACCAAGGCAACGAUGCGUAGCCGACCUGAGAGGGUGAUCGGCCUCACUGGAACUGAGACACGGUCCAGACUCCUACGGGAGGCAGCAGUAGGGAAUCUUCCGCAAUGGGCGAAAGCCUGACGGAGCAACGCCGCGUGAGUGAUGAAGGUCUUCGGAUCGUAAAACUCUGUUAUUAGGGAAGAACAAAUGUGUAAGUAACUAUGCACGUCCUGACGGUACCUAAUCAGAAAGCCACGGCUAACUACGUG